rnacentral:rRNA from 1 species
GAUGAACGCUAGCUACAGGCUUAACACAUGCAAGUCGAGGGGAAACGACAUCGAAAGCUUGCUUUUGAUGGGCGUCGACCGGCGCACGGGUGAGUAACGCGUAUCCAACCUGCCCAUCACUUGGGAAUAACCUUGCGAAAGUAAGACUAAUACCCAAUGAUAUCCCACGAAGGCAUCGGAAUGGGAUUAAAGAUUUAUCGGUGAUGGAUGGGGAUGCGUCUGAUUAGCUUGUUGGCGGGGUAACGGCCCACCAAGGCAACGAUCAGUAGGGGUUCUGAGAGGAAGGUCCCCGACAUUGGAACUGGGACACGGUCCAAACGCCUACGGGAGGCAGCAGUGAGGAAGAUUGGGCAAUGGGCGAGAGCCUGAACCAGCCAAGUAGCGUGCAGGAAGACGGCCCUAUGGGUUGUAAACUGCUUUUAUAAGGGAAUAAAGUGGGUCACGUGUGACUUUUUGCAUGUACCUUAUGAAUAAGGACCGGCUAAUUCCGUG